AUGUACGCCAUGAUCCGCCGCGCGGAUCCCCUCCGGAGGCGCGCCGCGUCGGCCAUCCUGGCCGCGCUGCUGCAGCACCCGGCGGGCCCCUCCGCCGCCGGGGCGUCGGCGUCGGUCCUGCCCCCAAGGUCGCCGCUCCCGCCGCCGGCGAUGUGGUUCCACUCCAGGCCGGCCCCGCUCGGGUUCCGGGAGACGGGGGCCGCGCGGGCCGGGGCGCACGCUCAGUUCGCGGCGGACGAGGGGUGGAACUACGACGAUAAGAGGAAGCCCGCGGGGGGCGUGGCUGGGGCCGGCGCCGGCGCCAAGGAGGAGGGGCUUGAGAUCGCAAAGCUCGGGAUCUCGUCCGAGAUCGUCGACAAGCUCUCCGCCAAGGGCAUCACCAAGCUGUUCCCCAUCCAGAGAGCUGUCCUUGAGCCAGCAAUGCAAGGCAAGGAUAUGGUUGGCCGUGCCAAAACGGGGACAGGGAAAACUUUGGCAUUUGGAAUCCCCAUAAUGGAUGCAAUUAUUCGCCAUAACGCAGCUAACAAACCUGGAAUAUAUCCCCUGGCGAUAUGUUUGGCACCAACACGGGAACUUGCAAAACAAGUUGAGAAAGAAUUUGUUGAUUCUUCCCGGCUGGAUACACUCUGUGUAUAUGGAGGCACUCCAAUUCAGCAACAAAUGAAAGGACUUAGCCAGGGUGUUGAUGUAGUUGUUGGGACACCUGGACGGGUAAUUGAUCUGCUAAAUAGACGUGCUCUGAAUUUGUCAAAUGUCCAGUUUGUUGUUCUCGAUGAAGCAGACCAGAUGCUGUCAGUGGGUUUUGAUGAAGCUGUUGAGGAAAUUUUGCAAAAUGUGCCUGCCAAACGUCAAACCUUGAUGUUCUCCGCAACAAUGCCACCCUGGAUACGCAAGCUGAUGCAGAAGUACCUCAAAGAUCCUGUCAUAGUUGAUCUUGUGGGUGAAGAUGACCAGAAGCUGGCAGAAGGGAUUUCUCUGUUGUCUAUUGCUACAGAGAAUCAUGCAAAACCUGCUGUCCUUGGGCAAUUGAUUCAGGACCAUGCUAAAGGUGGCAAGUGCAUUGUAUUUACGCAAACAAAAAGGGAUGCUGAUCGGUUGUCAUACACUAUGAGUCGAAGUGUCCAGUGUCAGGCUCUUCAUGGAGAUAUUACACAACAACAGAGAGAGAGGACACUUCAAGGAUUUCGUGAAGGGCGCUUUAAUACUUUGAUUGCCACUGAUGUUGCUGCUCGUGGUUUGGAUAUUCCAAAUGUGGAUCUGGUGAUACACUAUGAAUUGCCAAACAAUUCAGAGAUAUUUGUUCACAGGUCUGGCCGUACUGGCCGUGCUGGGAAGAAAGGCACUGCAAUUGUGAUGUACAGCUACAACCAAAGUAGAGCUGUCAGGGGCAUCGAGAAUGACGUUGGAGGCAAGUUUACGGAGCUUCCAAAGAUCAAUGUUGAAGGUUCUGACUUGACAAUGGCUAGUGGUUAUGAUUCGUUCGGAGGUGGAGGUGGAGGUGGGCGCUCACGUGGUGGUGGUUUUGGUGGCCGCGGUGGUGGUUUUGGCAACUCUUCCAGCAGAGGUGGCGGGUUUGGUGAUUCCGGUUUUGGUCGUUCAGGUGGUGGGUUUGGUCGGUCAGGCGGCGGCGGAGGUGGUGGAUUUGGCGAUUCAGGGUUUGGCCGAUCAGGUGGUGGUGGUGGAUUCGGUGAUUCAGGGUUUGGCCGAUCAGGUGGUGGUGGAGGUGGAUUCGGCUCAAGUGGUGGGUUUGGGAGUUCUGGUUCAGGGCGGUCUGGCGGGUUUGGUAGCAACUCUGGUAGCUCUGGCUCUAGCUGGGGUGGAUUCGGCAGCUUUGGAGGCAAAAGCUCUUGA
rnacentral:rRNA from 1 species